rnacentral:lncRNA from 1 species
UCCUCCGCGGCAUCUUCCUCACACCUCCUUAUAACGCAUCUCACCUGAGGGAAUCGUCGUCUAUCAAUGACUAUUCAAUAAGUAUGUGGUGCCUUUCAAACCAUCUAAAUUUCAAGGGACAUUUGAAUCAAUUCUUUGUGAAUAUAUGACAGUUUAGGUGAUAUGCAUUUGUUUACCAGGUAAUUUCUUUGUACUCUUUAAUGUCACUUAUCACUUUAUCGAACUGUGCAAAUCAGUUUCAAAUUUGAUGGGCAUUCGCUGUUUAUGAUACAUAUCGGACAAGAAUAGAGAAUUGAGCGGAUGUUCAUCAGUACUUCACUGACGAAGGACUAUAUUUCCAAUUAGAAAUUAUCCAUCUCCACUUACAGUGACACAUGAUUGGUAUGAGUUCGUUCAUUUCAUUGUGUUAUUUUCCCCCAUUUUGGUGAUGUUGCGAAAUGAAAGUUCACAAUUGGUGGAGUAAUACAGAGCAUAUCAUAUAGGUUAGGUGUUAAUUAGUUAGUGGUAGUCUAGUGACAAGUUGUAGUGGUUGAAUGAAUAGUUCUCAGCAGGCUCUAAUAUUAACUUUGUAUGUUUUCUGUCAUUAUUGUGACAAUUUCUAAAAUACUGAUAAUCUCUGUUCACAAGUUCCUUCUUUUUUUUUUUUUGCUUUUCAAUUUUGGUGUGGCCACCUCAUGUGAUGCACAACUCCAGAGACAUAUUAAAUUAAAAGAGAAGACACCAAAGAUAAUAGGGAGUUCCUGAUUUCUACUGCAGGGUGCGACAUCAACCGGCACAGUAUGAUUCGUGAUACUGUUACAUACACUGAGCAUGCCAGUUAACGGGAUGUUGUGUAUGCCUUUAAGAGGCAGGGAAGGACCUUAUAUGGAUUUGGAGGUUAGGGUGUUA